rnacentral:rRNA from 1 species
UACGUAGGGAGCAAGCGUUAUCCGGAAUUAUUGGGUGUAAAGGGUGAGUAGACGGGAAUGCAAGUUGAUUGUGAAAUCCCUCGGCUUAACUGAGGAACUGCAACCAAAACUGUAUUUCUUGAGUGCUGGAGAGGAAAGUGGAAUUCCUAGUGUAGCGGUGAAAUGCGUAGAUAUUAGGAGGAACACCAGUGGCGAAGGCGACUUUCUGGACAGUAACUGACGUUGAGGCACGAAAGUGUGGGGAGCAAAC